UACCAGAGCCAUGGAAGCCAAAUGCUGAGGAUGGUGGCAUCAUAGGGUGAAUGGAGCUGGGUUCUUGAAACACUGCUUGGAGGAAAGACAGCAAAAAUGCCUCAUGAAUCCAACUGGACUGUUAUGAUGCUCACCCUUGGAGACCAGCAACAAUGUAUGCAGAAACCCAGGCCAUGUGGAAAGGCCCCACGUACGUGUACAACUGAGGUCCCAGCUGACAGCUGGCAUUGACAUAAUGUUCACUCUGGGGGAAGCCAGCUGCCACACCGUAAGGACACUCGGGCAGUCCUAUGAAGAGGCCUGUGUGGUGAGAAAGUGAGGCCUCCAGCCUACAGCCAUGUGAGUGGGCCAUUGAGAAAGCAGCCUCAAUGCCUGCAGCCCUGCCUGGCAUCCUGACUACCACCUUAAAUGAGACCCUGAGCCAGAGCCACUACUUCCAAAUUCUUGACCACAGAAAUUGUGAAAUAAUAUUUGUUGUUUGAAGCCGCUAAGUUUUGGGAGUAAUUUGUUAUAUAGGAAAAGAUAAUUAAUACAUUCACUUCCUAAGAUUAUGAUGAGGAAUUAAGGAUACAGCAUGAAAAGAACUUUGCUAUUAUUUUUAUUAUCUGAUCCAAUUUAUGUUGAAGGGCUUUCAAUACUUUCUUCUUUUACUCUCUCUAUCUUCACAUUUGUCUGAAUCAUUUUUGCUUGUUUGUUUGUUUUUUAGAGAUGGGGUCUUGCUAUGUUGCCCAGGUUGGAGUACAGUGGUUACUCACAGGUAUGAUUCCACUACUGAUCAGCACGAGAGUUUUCACCUGUU
rnacentral:antisense_RNA from 1 species